AACGAACGCUGGCGGCAUGCCUAACACAUGCAAGUCGAACGAGAUCUUCGGAUCUAGUGGCGCACGGGUGCGUAACGCGUGGGAAUCUGCCCUUGGGUUCGGAAUAACAGUAAGAAAUUACUGCUAAUACCGGAUGAUGUCUUCGGACCAAAGAUUUAUUGCCCAGGGAUGAGCCCGCGUAGGAUUAGCUAGUAGGUGGGGUAAUGGCCUACCAAGGCGACGAUCCUUAGCUGGUCUGAGAGGAUGAUCAGCCACACUGGGACUGAGACACGGCCCAGACUCCUACGGGAGGCAGCAGUGGGGAAUAUUGGACAAUGGGCGAAAGCCUGAUCCAGCAAUGCCGCGUGAGUGAUGAAGGCCUUAGGGUUGUAAAGCUCUUUUACCAGGGAUGAUAAUGACAGUACCUGGAGAAUAAGCUCCGGCUAACUCCGUGCCAGCAGCCGCCGUAA
rnacentral:rRNA from 1 species